rnacentral:lncRNA from 1 species
GGAAAGACGAUGAUGAGCAGGGAGGAGCGGUGGAGCCUGGCCGGCGCAACGGCGCUCGUCACCGGUGGCAGCAAAGGGAUCGGGUACGUAAUCUGCGGCAGCAAAGGGAUCUGAUCGCCUCAAUUCGGUAACUGUUAGAAUUGCUCCUAAACUGUGCCCCUGUCCUCCUUUUUUUCCCUUUUGAGUUUGAAAUGGAUGUAUUUAGGGGCUGUUUGGUUGCUAUACAUUGUGCUUCAUGCAAGUCAGGCGCCUAAAAGUUUGAUAUUUUUCCUUGACGAGGGGACAUGUUGUUUCGUUGUUGCCUGUCCCUGAAGAUGCCUUGUCUUGUUGUUCCAAGAUAAAAGUGAGCAACUGCAUGCUCUUUUCUCUGAUUAAAGUGAAAUUAGUGUUCAGGCAGCUGCGGCCACAGCCCCGGGCACCUUAUAGUGUGUCAGCCCGGGCUAAAUAUGUCCUAUGAUUGUCCAGGCCAGGCUAGUUAUUUUAUUUUUUCACAGAUAGUUUUCAGACAUAACCCUGGGAACCUUCUGGCCAGGCAUGCGAUCGUGGAGGAGCUGGCAGGAUUCGGCGCCCGUGUGCACAUGUGUUCCCGGAACGCGGAGGAGUUGGAGGAGUGCCGGCACCGGUGGGACGAGAAGAGGUUCCAGGUCACCGUGUCCGUCUGCGACGUCUCCUCCCGUGCGGACAGGGAGAAACUCAUGGAGACGGUGAAACAAAACUUCGACGGCAAGCUCGACAUACUAGUAUUAUUAUUUUCUCUCUUCAAAUUAAUUAUUUAAAAAAGACAUACUAGUAAUAUUUCAGUCAAAGUACUUGUUCUCGUUUAUAAAUACAUCCACCGCUUCAUAAUUUUUUUUGACACUGAUGCAUCAUUUCCUGUAUACCACAGGGACUGUUAGUCCCUCAAAUUGUCAAUGUCGUCUAAUUUGCACUCACAUUGUCAAUUAAUUAAGAAUUUAAAAAAAUUGAGCCAAUUUUUUUAACGACUUUUGGAUAUCCACUAUAAUUAAGCUCGUUUACUCGAUGUAUGUAGGUG